AAGUCGUAACAAGGUUUCCGUAGGUGAACCUGCGGAAGGAUCAUUAACGAGUUAGGGUCUUCUAGGCCCGAUCUCCAACCCUUUGUAUAAUCACCAUGUUGCUUUGGCGGGCCCGUCUUUAACCGGACCGCCGGGAGGUUUCAAACCCCUGGCCAGUGCUCGUCAAUAGCCCUUCAUAAACUCUUUUAACCAUGUUAAAUCUGAAAAUAUUUAAAUAAACUAAAACUUUCAACAACGGAUCUCUUGGUUCUG
rnacentral:misc_RNA from 1 species